AUUGAACGCUGGCGGCAUGCCUUACACAUGCAAGUCGAACGGCAGCACGGGAGCAAUCCUGGUGGCGAGUGGCGAACGGGUGAGUAAUAUAUCGGAACGUGCCCAGUCGUGGGGGAUAACGUAGCGAAAGCUACGCUAAUACCGCAUACGAUCUAUGGAUGAAAGCGGGGGAUCGCAAGACCUCGCGCGAUUGGAGCGGCCGAUAUCAGAUUAGGUAGUUGGUGAGGUAAAGGCUCACCAAGCCGACGAUCUGUAGCUGGUCUGAGAGGACGACCAGCCACACUGGGACUGAGACACGGCCCAGACUCCUACGGGAGGCAGCAGUGGGGAAUUUUUGGACAAUGGGCGCAAGCCUGAUCCAGCAAUGCCGCGUGCAGGAUGAAGGCCUCGG
rnacentral:rRNA from 1 species